UACGGGGGGGGCAAGCGUUGUUCGGAUUCAUUGGGCGUAAAGGGUGCGUAGGCGGCGCGGUAAGUCGGGUGUGAAAUCUCGGAGCUUAACUCCGAAACUGCAUUCGAUACUGCCGUGCUUGAGGACUGGAGAGGAGACUGGAAUUUACGGUGUAGCGGUGAAAUGCGUAGAUAUCGUAAGGAAGACCAGUGGCGAAGGCGGGUCUCUGGACAGUUCCUGACGCUGAGGCACGAAGGCCAGGGGAGCAAACGGG
rnacentral:rRNA from 1 species